UUCAUGAUGUUAGACCCUGCUGAUCUGUCCAGGAGGUUGAAGACCAUGGAGAAUUGGAACAUUUUUUCCCACCAGUGCUUUUGAUAGGCCAGUGCAAGGAUAUUAUUUCUCUUGGUCUCCAGACCAGGAAAUACUUUCCUUCAUUUAAUCAAGAGUUUCUGGCAGCUCUUCAGGCUCUGAAGAACACAUGGAUUCCUGAUAAUAUAUCCAUAAUACACACUCCACAUGAACUGUUCUCUUCAGUUCACCAGAGUAUAAUCCCUUCCAUUCAAUUCAAGUUGCUACUCUGGAGUCAGGUGGACUUCUUUGCCUGUGACUCUAUGUAAGUCCAC